AACGAACGCUGGCGGCAGGCUUAACACAUGCAAGUCGAGCGGGCGCUUUCGGGCGUCAGCGGCGGACGGGUUAGUAACGCGUGGGAACGUGCCCUUUGCUCUGGAAUAGCCCUGGGAAACUGGGGGUAAUACCGGAUGUGCCCUGAGGGGGAAAGAUUUAUCGGCAAGGGAUCGGCCCGCGUCUGAUUAGGUAGUUGGUGUGGUAAUGGCGCACCAAGCCGACGAUCGGUAGCUGGUUUGAGAGGAUGAUCAGCAACACUGGGACUGAGGCACGGCCCAGACUCCUACGGGAGGCAGCAGUGGGGAAUUUUAGACAAUGGGCGCAAGCCUGAUCUAGCCAUGCCGCGUGGGUGAUGAAGGCCUUAGGGUCGUAAAGCCCUUUCGCCGGGGAAGAUAAUGACGGUACCCGGUAAAGAAACCCCGGCUAACUCCGUGCCAGCAGCCGCGGUAAGAC
rnacentral:rRNA from 1 species